GAACGCUAGCGGCGUGCCUAACACAUGCAAGUCGAACGUGAGGGGGGUACUUGUAUCCCCUGAAAGUGGCGGACGGGUGAGUAAGACGUAGGUGACCUGCCUCGAAGUGGGGGAUAACCAUUGGAAACGAUGGCUAAUACCGCAUAAGCUGGUGACGAUGGGAAUGGUUAUCAGGAAAGCUUUAGUGCUUUGAGAGGGGCCUACGGCCGAUUAGCUAGUUGGUGAGGUAAAGGCUCACCAAGGCGAUGAUCGGUAGCUGGUCUGAGAGGACGAUCAGCCACACGGGAACUGAGACACGGUCCCGACUCCUACGGGGGGCAGCAGUGAGGAAUAUUCGGCAAUGGGGGCAACCCUGACCGAGCAACGCCGCGUGGAGGAUGACGGUUUUUCGGAUUGUAAACUCCUUUCUCAGGGAAGAGCGAGGACGGUACCUGGGGAAUAAGUCACGGCUAACUACGUGCCAGCAGCCGCGGUAAUACGUAGGUGGCAAGCGUUAUCCGGAAUUACUGGGCGUAAAGCGCACGCAGGUGGCGGCUUAAGU
rnacentral:rRNA from 1 species